GGGAAGGGAGAGUGAAGGAAAGAGUAAAUACAAGGAAAACUUAAAGGAACACCCAAAGGGAAAUAGGGAAAUCUCUUUUUUCCCCCUUCUUUCUCUCUCUCUC
rnacentral:miRNA from 1 species